rnacentral:rRNA from 1 species
CGCGUAGGCGGCCUGCUAAGUCUGGAGUGAAAGUCCUGCUUUCAAGGUGGGAAUUGCUUUGGAUACUGGUGGACUGGAGUGCAGGAGAGGAAAGCGGAAUUACCGGUGUAGCGGUGAAAUGCGUAGAGAUCGGUAGGAACACCAGUGGCGAAGGCGGCUUUCUGGACUGAAACUGACGCUGAGGCGCGAAAGCGUGGGAGCAAACA